rnacentral:rRNA from 1 species
GGUCCCGCCUGCCCUGUGACUAUAUGUUUAACGGCCGCGGUAUUUUGACCGUGCGAAGGUAGCGCAAUCACUUGUCUUUUAAAUGAAGACCCGUAUGAAUGGCACAACGAGGGCUUAGCUGUCUCCUUUUUCUAGUCAAUGAAAUUGAUCUCCCCGUGCAGAAGCGGGGAUUAUAACAUAAGACGAGAAGACCCUAUGGAGCUUCAGACACAAAGCAGUCCACACCAAACACCCCAAAAUAAAGGGGCAAAUCAAGUGGUCCUCUGCUCAAAUGUCUUUGGUUGGGGCGACCGCGGGGAAAAAUAAAACCCCCACGUGGAAUGAGAGAACCUCUCCCACAACCAAGAGCCGCCACUCUAAGUAACAGAACCUCUGACCAGAAUGAUCCGGCAAAGCCGAUCAACGGACCGAGUUACCCUAGGGAUAACAGCGCAAUCCCCUUCCAGAGCCCAUAUCGACAAGGGGGUUUACGACCUCGAUGUUGGAUCAGGACAUCCUAAUGGUGCAGCCGCUAUUAAGGGUUCGUUUGUUCAACGAUUAAAGUCCUACGUGAUC